AUGCGCGCGCGUGUGUGUAGAAUAUCGUAUACUCAUAAGGCGCUAAUAAACGAGUGUGUGCGUGCGUGUGCAUCAUGUAUACAUUGCUCGUAAAGUGAGGGUGGGAGAUGACAGAAAGGGGAGGGACACGAAAGUUCUAACCUCACGGUGGGUGGUAAACGAUAGAUAAGAUGCGUUUCCAUUUUAUCUUUGGAUACCACAGGGAAGAACAAGUUUUCUGUUGAAAAAUCUAUAUUUGAAGUCGAUUUAUGAUGAAGAUGAAGAAAAUGAUAGGAAAAAGAUGGCAGGACAACAUAGAUUGGAUUAUGUGCAAUAUUUGACAUUGAUUAAAUAUUUAUUCUCACAAUAAGAAGAAAAAUUCUAAAAUUUUUUGAAUUGCAGAAUAUCGAUAUAUACUUAAAAAAAUAUUACCACGGUAAUCGAGGUGACACAAAAACAUCGUAAAUAUGUACACGACAAAACAGGGAAUAAGAAAUGUGGUAAUCGUUUCACUUUUGAAACUUUAUCGAGUUUGUUGCAAGAAAUGGUAAGCGAUCUCACAUUUCGUAAUCAGCUGAUCUGAUUUGCCUCAUUACGCGUAAGCUUCCUUCUUACGAUAGCUCUUCUUCCCGCAGUUUCUUGGAUAACAAUGAAGCCUAAACCGUGGCACCUUCGGCCCUUGUUUCCGUUCUCACGUUCAUUUGUUCUAAAUGGAAUCAACGAUCUUUUUAUUAGUCACCUUCUCAUUGCUAGUUUGCCGUUUAUUUAGAAAAUUAUCUUGAGAAAGGAUACCACCACUUAAUACCUAGAGAAAUUUUUACAUAACAGUAAUUAUGAUAAUAGUAUUUCUUUAAUAUUAAUAAUACUUAUAUGUUCAAUUUAAAAAUUGUUAUUAUUUGUUAAUUGAAUAAAAUUAUACUUUUAAUUAAUAUAUAAUAAUAAUUUUAUUCUUUCAUAUUUUCUAUAUUUUUGUAAGAUUUGAUUAUUUGUAAUAUAUGAUAAUUUAAUAUAUAUAUUUUGAUGAAAUUUGAUUAUAAUUCAUUAUUUUUAAUUCAUUUCAUUUAUUUUAUACUUAUUACUUUACUUAUUAUUUUAGAGAUUAACUUUGUUUAAGGAUAUUGACCACUUCAAUAAUUCGCUGUGAAUUACAUAAGCAUGCAGAUUGCUGGUGAAAGGGAUUCACAUUCAGUUGACAACAGAAGUUU